rnacentral:rRNA from 1 species
UGGGGAAUUUUGGACAAUGGGGGAAACCCUGAUCCAGCCAUCCCGCGUGUGCGAUGAAGGCCUUCGGGUUGUAAAGCACUUUUGGCAGGAAAGAAACGUCAUGGGUUAAUACCCCGUGAAACUGACGGUACCUGCAGAAUAAGCACCGGCUAACUACGCGCCAGCAGCCGCGGUAAUACGUAGGGUGCAAGCGUUAAUCGGAAUUACUGGGCGUAAAGCGUGCGCAGGCGGUUCGGAAAGAAAGAUGUGAAAUCCCAGAGCUCAACUUUGGAACUGCAUUUUUAACUACCGGGCUAGAGUGUGUCAGAGGGAGGUGGAAUUCCGCGUGUAGCAGUGAAAUGCGUAGAUAUGCGGAGGAACACCGAUGGCGAAGGCAGCCUCCUAGGAUAACACUGCCGCUCAUGCACGAAAGCGUGGGGAGCAAACAGG